rnacentral:rRNA from 1 species
CUUGCUGCAUGCUUUAUACAUGCAAGUCGAACGAAGGCCCUAGCUUGCUAGGUGUCCUUAGUGGCGCACGGGUGAGUAACACGUGGGAACAUACCUUAUAGUACGGAAUAACUGCGGGAAACUGUAGCUAAUACCGUAUAUUCCAGUAAUGGGAAAGAUUUAUCGCUAUAAGAUUGGCCCGCGCAAGAUUAGCUUGUUGGUGAGGUAAAAGCUCACCAAGGCUUCGAUCUUUAGCUGGUUUGAGAGGAUGAUCAGCCACACUGGGACUGAGACACGGCCCAGACUCCUACGGGAGGCAGCAGUAGGGAAUAUUGGACAAUGGGGGCAACCCUGAUCCAGCAAUGCAGCGUGAGUGACGAAGGCCUUAGGGUUGUAAAACUCUUUCAUCGGUGAGGAUAAUGACAGUAGCCGAAGAAGAAGGACCGGCUAAUUCCGUGCCAGCAGCCGCGGUAAUACGGAAGGUCCUAGCGUUGUUCGGAAUUACUGGGCGUAAAGCGCAUGUAGGCGGAACAGAAAGUUAGAAGUGAAAUCCCUGGGCUCAACCUAGGAAUUGCUUUUAAAACUUCUGUUCUGGAAUUCAGGAGAGGAAAAUGGAAUUUCCAGUGUAGAGGUGAAAUUCGUAGAUAUUGGAAGGAACACCAGUGGCGAAGGCGAUUUUCUGGACUGAUAUUGACGCUGAGAUGCGAAGGCAUGGGUAGCAAACGGGAUUAGAUACCCCGGUAGUCCAUGCAGUAAACGAUGGGUGCUAGUCGUCGGACUUUUGUUCGGUGUCGUAGCUAACGCGUUAAGCACCCCGCCUGGGGAGUACGGUC